AAGACCUCAGAUAUGAAUAAAUGCAUUUAAUGUUUUAUGUUACUAUUUUCUGACCAGUGUCCACUCAGUUAUUUCAAAUACACUAUUAUUGAAAGUUAUUUAUUUUUAUUUAUAGAUUAUAUGUAUUUUCUACAAUGUGAUUUACUAGAGUAAAACUUACCAGUCUAGUUUGUGGUAAAACAUUACAUUACUUACAAAGAAUACUUUAUUUUGAUAAGUCAGCAGUGCCAUCCAUUUAUUUUUUAUUCAUUUUUAUCCCCCCCCCCAAUAAUCGUUACAAACAGCUAUGUUUGUGUUGCUCAUUUCACUCUAAAACACUCUAAAACUACACUCAUUUUGUUUUCUAUAUAAAAAAAAAAAAAAAAAAAAAGAUUUUGAAAUGAAAUAAGAGUUUAAAGUUUUCCAUGUAAAAAAAUAUAUAUUUUCUGUGUCAAUAUAUAUAUUUUGUAACUCUUUUAACUUAAUUUCUUAAUUAUUGUACACCUUUAAUUGACACAUUGUACAGGUAUUAAUUAACAAAUAACCUUAGAGGUGUAAACCAUUUACACAUUUAAAAAAAAAUACUUUAUAUAAACUAAAAUUAUACUUUUAAAAUGUAAUUAUAAACUUAUAGUAAACUAUUUAAAAAAAAACAUACUUUAACUAAAAUUGUACUAAAUUAUUAUUAAUAUUAUUAUUAUUAUUAUUAUUUUUUAAUAUAUAUAUUUUUUUAAUGAUUAACUGUAUUUUUUUUUCACAUCACUGUCUUUCAUAAUUGACAUCGUCUGCUUAUUUGUCAUACAGGUGGACCCCUUGCAUAUGGUUGUCAACCCCCUAUUUUCCUCCAGUUUUCUGCCUCCCCCAGGAUUUGGCCUGAAUCCAUACUAUAUUGUUGGAGACUUCUCCCCUGUGGCCUUAUCAACAUGGCAACUAUGUCAAUUUUCCAGACAAUGUAAACCCGUCAGCAGCGGGCAGACAGCGCUUCACGUGCCUGGCAAAUGUUCCUCCAGGGUUCACAUCGGCAGAUGCCUUCACAUUUGUUCUGACAACCUGUUUUGUUCUACUCUUUUUGUUGUUUUGGCUCUUUUUACUGUUUCUGUUAAUCAUAAGUUGUCAUGUACUCCAUAUUGUAUAUGGACAGUAAAGCAGUUACCUCAGAUAAAAUGUGUUGUGUGAGCAUUUUAUUUUUAAGCAUGUAGGCUUCUCUAUCUGAAGGCUGUAAUUUGUAGGUCUGUCAUAUAUACAACAAAGCCAUUACAUCAAGGUAAUUCACUGGGAGAAAACAAGAAUAGGAAAUAAAUACAUAAACAGACAUUAGAAAAAAAAUUAUAAAAGUAUGUCAAUAGCAGACUCAAUACAGAUGUUAUUAAAAAGCAUAUAUAAUAUGUAUCUAAAUCAUUGCAGCUCCACUUUGGAAUAUAAUACAUAAUUUAUCAUGCAGAUGAAAUAUUUAGGAUGCAUAUUGAUAUUCUCUUCCUGGGGUUUUUCCUGUCUACUUGCAAUAAAGUUCCC
rnacentral:lncRNA from 1 species